rnacentral:rRNA from 1 species
CGGCGGACGGGUGAGUAACACGUGGAUAACCUACCUAUAAGACUGGGAUAACUUCGGGAAACCGGAGCUAAUACCGGAUAAUAUAUUGAACCGCAUGGUUCAAUAGUGAAAGACGGUUUUGCUGUCACUUAUAGAUGGAUCCGCGCCGCAUUAGCUAGUUGGUAAGGUAACGGCUUACCAAGGCCAACGAUGCGUAGCCGACCUGAGAGGGUGAUCGGCACACUGGAACUGAGACACGGUCCAG